GAUUGAACGCUGGCGGCAUGCUUUACACAUGCAAGUCGAACGGUAACCGGCCGCAAGGUGCUGACGAGUGGCGAACGGGUGAGUAAUGCAUCGGAACGUGCCCAGUCGUGGGGGAUAACUACUCGAAAGAGUAGCUAAUACCGCAUACGAUCUAUGGAUGAAAGCGGGGGACCGUAAGGCCUCGCGCGAUUGGAGCGGCCGAUGUCAGAUUAGGUAGUUGGUGGGGUAAAGGCUCACCAAGCCAACGAUCUGUAGCUGGUCUGAGAGGACGACCAGCCACACUGGGACUGAGACACGGCCCAGACUCCUACGGGAGGCAGCAGUGGGGAAUUUUGGACAAUGGGCGCAAGCCUGAUCCAGCAAUGCCGCGUGCAGGAAGAAGGCCUUCGGGUUGUAAACUGCUUUUGUACGGAACGAAACGGCUCUGGUUAAUACCCGGGGCUAAUGACGGUACCGUAAGAAUAAGCACCGGCUAACUACGUG
rnacentral:rRNA from 1 species